rnacentral:rRNA from 1 species
AGAGUUUGAUCCUGGCUUAGGACGAACGCUGGCGGCGUGCUUAACACAUGCAAGUCGAACGGGGAUUAAGUUGGAAGGGUUCGGCCUGGAAGAUUUAAUCGAGUGGCGGACGGGUGAGUAACGCGUGAGCAACCUGUCCCAGACAGGGGGAUAACACUUGGAAACAGGUGCUAAUACCGCAUAAGACCACGGGGUCACAUGGCUCGUGGGGGUAAAAGGAGCAAUCCGGUUUGGGGGUGGGCUCGCGUCCGAUUAGAUAGUUGGUGAGGUAACGGCCCACCAAGUCGACGAUCGGUAGCCGACCUGAGAGGGUGAUCGGCCACAUUGGAACUGAGAGACGGUCCAAACUCCUACGGGAGGCAGCAGUGGGGAAUAUUGGGCAAUGGGCGAAAGCCCUGACCCAGCAACGCCGCGUGAGUGAAGAAGGCCUUCGGGUUGUAAAGCUCUGUUAUAGGGGACGAAGGAAGUGACGGUACCCUAUAAGGAAGCCCCGGCUAACUACGUGCCAGCAGCAGC